GACGAACGCUGGCGGCGUGCUUAACACAUGCCAGUCGAACGAGACGAUUGAAAGCUUGCUUUCGAAAGUCGAGUGGCAAACGGGUGAGUAACGCGUAGACAACCUGCCUUUGAGAUGGGGACAACAGUUCGAAAGGACUGCUAAUACCGAAUGUUGUAUAUUUUCCACAUGGAAGAUAUAUUAAAGAUGGCCUCUAUUUAUAAGCUAUCGCUCAAAGAUGGGUCUGCGUCUGAUUAGCUGGUUGGUGGGGUAACGGCCUACCAAGGCGACGAUCAGUAGCCGGUCUGAGAGGAUGAACGGCCACAUUGGGACUGAGACACGGCCCAGACUCCUACGGGAGGCAGCAGUAGGGAAUCUUCCGCAAUGGACGAAAGUCUGACGGAGCAACGCCGCGUGAGUGAAGAAGGUUUUCGGAUCGUAAAACUCUGUUGUUAGGGAAGAACAAGUACCGGAGUAACUGCCGGUACCUUGACGGUACCUGACCAGAAAGCCACGGCUAACUACGUGCCAGCAGCCGCAGUAACAC
rnacentral:rRNA from 1 species